GUUAUUAAAAACAUGGCCUUUUGAUUAUAAUUUAAGGUCUAUCCUGCCCAAUGAUGUAUUUAAAUGGCCGCGGUAAUUUGACCGUGCAAAGGUAGCAUAAUCAUUAGUUUUUUAAUUGGAAGCUUGUAUGAAAGGUUGAAUGUAAAAAUAGCUGUCUCUAUUAAAAUUUAUUAAAAUUUUAUUUUUAAGUUAAAAAGCUUAAAUAUUUAUAGAAGACGAGAAGACCCUAUAGAGUUUUAUAUUUUAGAAAUAUUUUUAUUAUUAAGUAUUUUUUUAUAUUUUUAAAUUAUUUAAUUGGGGUGAUUUUUAAAUUUAGUUAACUUUUUUUAGUAUAAAACAAUAAUUUUUGUUUAAAUGAUCCUUUUUUUAAGAUUAAUAAAUAAAUUACCUUAGGGAUAACAGCGUUAUUUUUUUUUAGAGUUCAAAUUAAAAGAAAAGAUUGCGACCUCGAUGUUGGAUUAAAAAUAAAUUUUGGCGUAGAAGUUAAAAAUUUAGGUCUGUUCGACCUUUGAAAUUUUACAUGAUCURAGUUUAAACCGG
rnacentral:rRNA from 1 species